CCCUUAGAUGUUCGGGGCCGCACGCGCGCUACACUGAUGGGGUCAGCGUGUUUGCACGUCCUGGUCCGGCAGGAUUGGGCAAUCCGUUGAACCUCCGUCGUGAUUGGGAUCGGAGCUUGUAAUUAUUCUCCGUGAACGAGAAAUUCCCAGUAAGCGCAAGUCAUCAGCUUGCGUUGAUUACGUCCCUGCCCUUUGUACACACCGCCCGUCGCUACUACCGAUUGGGUGAUCCGGUGAAUAAUUCGGACUGCAGCAAUGUUUGGAUCCCGAACGUUGCAGCGGAAAGUUUAGUGAACCUUAUCACUUAGAGGAAGGAGAAGUCGUAACA
rnacentral:rRNA from 1 species